AUUGGCGGGACGAAGGGAACCGCUGAUAGAUAUCGAGUGGAAACACAGAAAGUACAAAAUGAAACAAACAUAUGGUUAGAGUUAAAAUUUUCUGGUAGCAGUAGCAGAGGAGGACGGGGUGCGCCGCGGCCGUGAGGAGUCUACCUGCAACACACGCACGUGCACGGCGUCCUGGACAGACUGAAAUAACACUGCUGAUCUUCGUCAGCAUCUUGUUGAUGGCCUGUUUGACAUGUGUGGUGGAGCUGCGGCGCCUGGCCUUGCCCUGCACGGCCUUCCGGCGCCUCACCUCGCGGCAGAGCUCGUGAAAAGCCUCGGCCACCAC